UACUACGGGAGGCAGCAGUAGGGAAUCUUCCGCAAUGGGCGAAAGCCUGACGGAGCAACGCCGCGUGAGUGAUGAAGGUCUUCGGAUCGUAAAACUCUGUUAUUAGGGAAGAACAUACGUGUAAGUAACUAUGCACGUCUUGACGGUACCUAAUCAAAAAGCCACGGCUAACUACGUGCCAGCAGCCGCGGUAAUACGUAGGUGGCAAGCGUUAUCCGGAAUUAUUGGGCGUAAAGCGCGCGUAGGCGGUUUUUUAAGUCUGAUGUGAAAGCCCACGGCUCAACCGUGGAGGGUCAUUGGAAAACUGGAAACUUGAGUGCAGAAAAGAAAGUGGAAUUCCAUGUGUAGCGGUGAAAAGCGCAAAGAUAUGGAGGAACACCAGUGGCAAAGGCGACUUUCUGGUCUGAAACUGAACCCGAUGUGCCAAAACGUGGGGGUCCAAACAGGAUUAAAAACCCUGGAAGACCACGCCCAAAACCAAGAAUGCCAACUGGUAGGGAGGUUUCCCCC
rnacentral:rRNA from 1 species